GCCAGAAAUAAAGAAAAUCUCGAGGAAAUAAUUGUUUUCUAAAUCGUAGAUUCGUUCGUUGAAUUUGUAAAAACGUCAUAACCAAGAAACCUUGAUCCAAUUCGAUUAACAUUGUUGCUUGUAUAAGCACAUUCAUCCUGCACGGCAAUUCAAAUGGACAGAAUAAUGCGUUCACACGUAAUGCAGUAGCGUGUAAUUUUGAUCGUACAAUUUUACAUCAACGUGAACGCCAUGAAUACAAACUAACACGCAAAGAACAAAGUUAUCAGGAGGAGCCAGUUGGUUAGUUUGCUUUUGGAAUAACAUGAAAGAAGAACACGCGAUCAAUGAUUAGUAUAAUGCAUACAGUGGUUGCUAUAAUUAGACAGAAGCACUUGAACGUUAUGAAGAUGAAAGACGCGAAGAAUGUAAAAGGAAAUAUAAAAGGUAGUUUCCGUGAAAUCGUUACUUUUAACUUUAGGAAUUAAUUUUACUAUUUUUAACUUAGAAAUUCUUUCCAUCCUUUCUUCUCCUCCUUUUUAUGGUUAACAUUAAUAUUUAUACCAUCAAUAUGGCAAUAAUAAUUCUAAUACUAUUCUUAGUAUCAUCCAGAAAUAAGAGAUCAGAAAUAAUUUAUUUUGCUCGUCAACUCAUUGCAAAGGUACAAACAGGUUGUUGCUAAAGUACAUCCGAGUUAGUAAAUCGACCGUUAGUACAUCGGAUCCACUCGAUCGCACUCUACUUUACCAACCAUCAAUACAUAUAAAUACACAUAUGUUGUUUCAGCAGAGAUACGAACCUCGUUUUGAGUAGACUAAUUGCAACCAAUUAUAGCAUACAAAUCCGGAUUAUAUACCAAAUACAUUUUUUUCAGAUAAAUUUAGUUAAUUAAUUAUUCAUAUAUAAUAGGAAAGUAGACAAUAACAACAAUGAUCAACAAAUGAUGAAUAAUCGCUUAAUUAAUGUGAAAUUAAUGAAGUCAAUAAUGCACAAACCGAGGAGGUGGAAUGAAAAGUUCUUGAAAUAAAGAAGAUAGCCUUACAGCAUAUGGCGUAACUUUAACAGGCCAGCUAUCGGAAAAUUCUAUCGCAUUGCUUUUACCUCCUUGCCAUUUAAAAGGCUCUUAUAGCGCUAGAAAGCAUAUGACCUUACUUUUAUUGCUGCAACUCAAAAUACAAAACAACAGACACAA